rnacentral:rRNA from 1 species
GUGGGGAAUAUUGCACAAUGGGCGAAAGCCUGAUGCAGCAACGCCGCGUGAAGGAUGAAGGCCUUUGGGUCGUAAACUUCUGUCCUUGGGGAAGAAAAAAAUGACGGUACCCCUGGAGGAAGUCCCGGCUAACUACGUGCCAGCAGCCGCGGUAAUACGUAGGGGGCGAGCGUUAUCCGGAAUUAUGGGGCGUAAAGAGUACGUAGGUGGUUUUUUAAGCGCAGGGUUUAAGGCGAUGGCUCAACUGUCGUUCGCCCUGUGAACUGGAAGACUUGAGUACAGGAGAGGAAAGCGGAAUUCCUAGUGUAGCGGUGAAAUGCAUAGAUAUUAGGAGGAACACCAGUGGCGAAGGCGGCUUUCUGGACUGUAACUGACACUGAGGUACGAAAGCGUGGGGAGCAAACAGGAUUAGAUACCCCGGUAGUCC